UCGGCUUAUGAAUUUCUUAAACUUGGCCCCUACCAGAAUCAUUCUCGCGAGUACCCUCGUCAAGGUAUCCCAUUGAGACCGCCAAGGCUGUUAAAUGACCCAUACCCAUAAACAUGUUUUCACAUCUGACACAGUCGUUCCUUGGCGUUGGCUGAGUCUCACUCUCACGUGGUGGCCCGAACGUGAGGUGCACUCAAAUCUUACCUCAGGAGAUACUUCAUCCAACAUCUCCCCCCGGAGGUAAUUAUAUAAUUGGGUUACCGUACCCCUCUCAUAGGUAGUCAACGAAAACCCCCACCACUGCAGUGACCGUUUAAUAUACCACCAGACCCAAAAAAAUUCCAGUAGCAUAAUAUGGCGAAUAAAAUGUAAUUCAGUCUACUGAGACCAAUCCAAACCUAUUCAUAUAUU
rnacentral:lncRNA from 1 species